rnacentral:rRNA from 1 species
AUACGGAGGGAGCGAGCGUUAAUCGGAAUUACUGGGCGUAAAGCGCGCGUAGGCGGCUUUGUAAGUCGGAUGUGAAAGCCCCGGGCUCAACCCGGGAAUUGCAUUCGAUACUGCAGAGCUAGAGUAUGGUAGAGGGAAGUGGAAUUUCCGGUGUAGCGGUGAAAUGCGUAGAUAUCGGAAGGAACACCAGUGGCGAAGGCGACUUCCUGGGCCAAUUCUGACGCUGAGGUGCGAAAGCGUGGGGAGCAAACAGGAUUAGAAACCCCAGUAGUCC